rnacentral:rRNA from 1 species
CGGUGAUAUAAUUAAACGGCUGCAGUACUCUGACUGUGCAAAGGUAGCAUGAUCAAUUGUCUGGUAAUUCCAGUCUGGUAUGAAUGGUUAGACGAUAGGAACGCUGUCUUUUUCUCUUUUGUUGAAAUUGACUACCAGGUGCGGAGGCCUGGAUUGGAGAGUGGGACGAGAAGACCCUAUAGAGCUUUAACUUUAUCUAUAAAAUCAUUGUUAUGGUGUGUGUUUUAGUUGGGGCAACUAUUCUUAUUAUUAAACAUUUAUAGUAAUCUAGUAAAUUUAAUUUGUGUGGACCCUAAAUUUUUAGGUAGUUAGAAAAAGUUACCUUAGGGAUAACAGCGUAAUUUCUCUUGAGAGUUCUUAUUAA